UUUCCGUAGGUGAACCUGCGGAAGGAUCAUUAAAAGAUUUAGCAUAUUCUUCUGAAUAUGCUUCAUUAACCCAUUCCGAGUACCUUACCCGUUGCUUCCGCGAGGCUGUCCUCACGGCCCUUUGAAGAUUUAUCUUUGGAGAGUCCUUGCGGGAGGUAUACAAUAAACUCUUGCAUUACCAUGUCAUCUGUCUGAAUCUGUUUAAAACAAAUAUUAAAACUUUCAACAACGGAUCUCUUGGUUCUC
rnacentral:misc_RNA from 1 species